rnacentral:rRNA from 1 species
AACCUUUUGGUGGCCUCAGACACGUAUUACAGUGAGACUGCGAAUGGCUCAUUAAAUCAGUUAUCGUUUAUUUGAUAGUACCUUACUACUUGGAUAACCGUGGUAAUUCUAGAGCUAAUACAUGCUAAAAAUCCCGACCUCUGGAAGGGAUGUAUUUAUUAGAUAAAAAACCAAUGCCCUCGGGCUCCUUGGUGAUUCAUAAUAACUUAACGAAUCGCAUGGCCUUGCGCCGGCGAUGGUUCAUUCAAAUUUCUGCCCUAUCAACUUUCGAUGGUAGGAUAGUGGCCUACCAUGGUUUCAACGGGUAACGGGGAAUUAGGGUUCGAUUCCGGAGAGGGAGCCUGAGAAACGGCUACCACAUCCAAGGAAGGCAGCAGGCGCGCAAAUUACCCAAUCCCAAUUCGGGGAGGUAGUGACAAUAAAUACUGAUACAGGGCUCUUUUGGGUCUUGUAAUUGGAAUGAGUACAAUUUAAAUCCCUUAACGAGGAACAAUUGGAGG